rnacentral:misc_RNA from 1 species
UUAAGUUCAGCGGGUAUUCCUACCUGAUCCGAGGUCAACCUUUAGAAGUAGGGGGUUUCACGGCCGGAACCCGCCACACGCCCUGAGCGAAGAGUAAACUACUGCACUCGGUGUGAUAGCGAGCCCGCCACUGCUUUUAGGAGGCUGCGAGCGGCCGCAGGGCUCCAACACAAGCCUGGGGCUUGAUGGUUGAAAUGACG